AAUAUAUGUAAGAUCGAAUUAGAAAUAAAAAGUUGUUUGGCGUGUUAUUUUGAAUUUCUUCCAAAGCAAAUUGCUCUGAUUAUUAAUUCCGGAUUGGGAAGCCUAAAUAUGUUCUCUUUAUUAUUGGAGUGCUACAGUCUGCUUUGCUUGAAGCAGAAUGGUCAUUAUUGCCUUUUUUGCAGCCUGCUUUGUGUAUCUGCUUGUCCGGGAAUCAAUGGGAGUGUCGCUUACAAGACACUUGGGCUUCGAAGCUGACGACUGAUUUCGGAGCGUAUAGUUAGACAGUCUUGGUGCAGCGCAAGCGACGCUCUAGCAACGUGACAAACAUCUGCACUGCAAACAGCUGUAUGAUAAUCAACAGAACAUAUCUCGAUGGAGAGUUCUUAACCGUAAAUAAUUAAGUUGGAUAUAUAAAUGCUCUAUAAACGCUAUAUCACGAAAGGUACAAUAUCUCAACUAGCAAACUUUUAUGAAUGCGAUGGAUUUAUCGCUACAAAAUGUCGCUGAAAACUAUCGUUUCAUCUAUUAUUUUGUCCAGCUGCGGUUGCAUACAUAUUCCUGUGGCGUUUAUUUUGUCUCCAACUAAUGCAUAAAUUUCGCUCUGUUUAGAAAACAAAUAACCAGUGGGUAUAACAAUAUGUAUAAACAUAAUAUAUCGUAUAGGCCGCGGUCGACAAUUCUUCCUCGUGAUAUCACUGGAAAUUGGUGCGCUGCACAACUGCUGCUAUGAAGUCGUUUUAAUAUCAUCAGCACUUUACCACUAUUCUAAUUGGAGAUCCUUUAAUAAAACUUCUUACAAUAUCUGGUUCAUACCAGUAGGUACAUUAUGUUAACUUUUGCGUUGGUUAUACAUAUGACACAGUCCCCAGUUAUUUAGUAACUUCACUAGUAGAAAAUAAAGAAAGACGGAGACAAACAGAGAUGAGGUUAAAAUGAAAAUAAAAUGACUGAAACUUCAGUUAGUGUCUGUAGAACAUUGAAAUAAUUCAUACCUACUUUGUUGGCUUGACAGAUUUGUGUCGUCCUUGUGAGCUUUCAGUAGCGGGGGGCUUCCAUUAUCUCCCCCUGGCUAGUUACACCAACCGCUUGCUGUCCACAGUUGGCAGCAGGGAAUGGUUUCAAAUCAUUUGUCACUUGGUUUUUGUGCCGAAGAUACAGACGUCAUUUACCGUGCUUUCCGCCAGCAGGAAAAGAGCCAAACAUUUUUAUAACUGGGCCAACUUCGUAGGCCGUUAACUUUUAAUAUUCGUAUUAUGUCAUUGUUGGGAUAUAAUUCACACAGCUCAUCAUUUCAUACGAUAAACGUUACCAAUGCGUAAGCGACAAUUUAUCUUCCAAAGAACUUUUCUCUUGAAUGCUUCAAUAUAGCACGGUACUGUGAUGAUGAAAUUCGUAGCUCUCUGAUGAAGAUGUGAUGGUACGAUUGUGUUGAAUAUGAAAAGAUAAAAAUAUGUAGGCAGACUAAACAUUAAGCAUCACAACUUGCCUGAUCGCCGAUAAUUUCAGAUUGGACAUUACUAAUCGAGGAUUAUUCAAUAUAAGAAAGUUAACAGGUCCACAUGCUGUUGAGAAAUAUCUUUUUUAAUCAGGGUAGGUAACCUGUAAAUACUACGUAUGAUAUGGUAUCAGUAUUGUUCAACUCAUAGAGAAGUUUAUACUUACGGUCUAACAGCUAAAGGCCUCAGUGUCCAGACCUGUAUCAAUCUCUCAUUAUUAAUAAAUAAAUAAAAAAAUACUUACGGCGUAAUAUCUUGUGAGCUUAAUGACGUUGUUCGACAUAUUAACUGCUUUUAUCUGUUGUUCUUAGUUCAGUUGGAAGAACGGACGAAUUUUUAACGAUUUUGUGUAUCAAAAUAAUCAACUUUAUUGUCUACAUACAACUAAACUUUUGAGUUCAGUCUACCCAGGACAUACCUUCAGAUUUACUCGAGGUGCCUAGGUCAGAUAACUGUCAACAGAUGUGAAAAUAUUGGCACUAGAAAGUGAGACGAAUGACUGGGUUUAAAAGGAUACUAAAUAAGCUUUAUGCCAGCUCUAUUUUCUGUUGUAUUUAAGAUCAGUUUAUAAUGUUGGCUGCAUCUUCAGCAUUAUAUUCGUCUCAAACGGACACAUGUGGCCUUAUGUUGGUGAUGUCAUUGCUGUUAUCGCCUGGAACAAAAACUAUUCGUGAGUCUGUGAAUAAGUAAUUCAUUAUCGAUUAAAGUAAAAUAAAAAUUUAAAUCUAUAAUAUAUGUUUA